AUUGAACGCUGGCGGCAGGCCUAACACAUGCAAGUCGAACGAGUGGCGGACGGGUGAGUAAUGUCUGGGAAACUGCCUGAUGGAGGGGGAUAACUACUGGAAACGGUAGCUAAUACCGCAUACCAUCGGAUGUGCACAGAUGGGAUUAGCUAGUAGGUGGGGUAAAGGCUCACCUAGGCGACGCUCCCUAGCUGGUCUUAGAGGAUGACCAGCCACACUGGAACUGUGACACUGUCCAGACUCCUACGGGCGGCAGCAGUUGGGAAUAUUGCACAAUGUGCGCAAGCCUGAUGCAGCCAUGCCGCGUGUAUGAAGAAGGCCUUCGGGUUGUAAAGUACUUUCAGCGGGGAGGCGUUACCCGCAGAAGAAGCACCGGCUAACGCCGUGCCAGCAGCCGCGGUAAUUC
rnacentral:rRNA from 1 species